GACAGAGGGUGCAAACGUUUGUUCGGAAUUACUGGGCGUAAAGCGCGUGUAGGCGGCUAUGCAAGUCGGAUGUGAAAGCCCUCGGCUCAACCGGGGAAGUGCACCCGAAACUGCAAGCUAGAGUCUCGGAGAGGAUCGUGGAAUUCUCGGUGUAGAGGUGAAAUUCGUAGAUAUCGAGAGGAACACCGGUGGCGAAGGCGGCAUCCUGGACCGACACUGACGCUGAGGAGCGAAAGCCAGGGGAGCAAACGGG
rnacentral:rRNA from 1 species